rnacentral:rRNA from 1 species
GACGAACGCUGGCGGCGUGCUUAACACAUGCAAGUCGAACGGAAAGGCCCUGCUUUUGUGGGGUGCUCGAGUGGCGAACGGGUGAGUAACACGUGAGUAACCUGCCCUUGACUUUGGGAUAACUUCAGGAAACUGGGGCUAAUACCGGAUAGGAGCUCCUGCUGCAUGGUGGGGGUUGGAAAGUUUCGGCGGUUGGGGAUGGACUCGCGGCUUAUCAGCUUGUUGGUGGGGUAGUGGCUUACCAAGGCUUUGACGGGUAGCCGGCCUGAGAGGGUGAGCGGCCACGGUGGAACUGGGAAACGGCCCAGACUCCUACGGGAGGCAGCAGUGGGGAAUAUUGCACAAUGGGCGGAAGCCUGUUGCAGCAACGCCGCGUGCGGGAUGACGGCCUUCUGGUUAUAAACCGCUUUCGCCUGUGACGAAGCGUGAGUGACGGUAAUGGGUAAAGAAGCACCGGCUAACUACGUG